UACGUAGGGUGCAAGCGUUAAUCGGAAUUACUGGGCGUAAAGCGUGCGCAGGCGGUUUUGUAAGUCAGAUGUGAAAUCCCCGGGCUUAACCUGGGAACUGCGUUUGAAACUACAAGGCUAGAGUGUGGCAGAGGGGGGUGGAAUUCCACGUGUAGCAGUGAAAUGCGUAGAGAUGUGGAGGAACACCGAUGGCGAAGGCAGCCCCCUGGGUCAACACUGACGCUCAUGCACGAAAGCGUGGGGAGCAAACAGG
rnacentral:rRNA from 1 species